UACGGAGGGUGCAAGCGUUAUCCGGAUUUACUGGGUUUAAAGGGUGCGCAGGCGGCUAUGUAAGUCAGUGGUGAAAUCCCCGAGCUUAACUUGGGAACUGCCAUUGAUACUAUCAGUCUUGAAUACUGUGGAGGUCAGCGGAAUAUGUCAUGUAGCGGUGAAAUGCUUAGAUAUGACAUAGAACACCAAUUGCGAAGGCAGCUGGCUACACAAAUAUUGACACUCAGGCACGAAAGCGUGGGGAUCAAACAGG
rnacentral:rRNA from 1 species